rnacentral:rRNA from 1 species
AUCCAGCAAUGCCGCGUGUGUGAAGAAGGCCUUCGGGUUGUAAAGCACUUUUGUCCGGAAAGAAAUCCUCUGGGUUAAUACCUCGGGGGGAUGACGGUACCGGAAGAAUAAGCACCGGCUAACUACGUGCCAGCAGCCGCGGUAAUACGUAGGGUGCAAGCGUUAAUCGGAAUUACUGGGCGUAAAGCGUGCGCAGGCGGUUUUGUAAGACGGAUGUGAAAUCCCCGGGCUUAACCUGGGAACUGCAUUCGUGACUGCAAGGCUAGAGUAUGGCAGAGGGGGGUAGAAUUCCACGUGUAGCAGUGAAAUGCGUAGAGAUGUGGAGGAAUACCGAUGGCGAAGGCAGCCCCCUGGGCCAAUACUGACGCUCAUGCACGAAAGCGUGGGGAGCAAACAGGAUUAGAUACCCUG